rnacentral:rRNA from 1 species
CUGCUAAGACUGGAUAGGAAAUAAAAAGGCAUCUUUUUGUUUUUAAAAGACCUUCUUACGAGAAGGUAUGCUUAAAGAGGGGCUUGCGCCACAUUAGUUAGUUGGUAGAGUAAAAGCCUACCAAGACGAUGAUGUGUAGCUGGACUGAGAGGUUGAACAGCCACAUUGGGACUGAGACACGGCCCAAACUCCUACGGGAGGCAGCAGUAGGGAAUUUUCGGCAAUGGAGGAAACUCUGACCGAGCAACGCCGCGUGAACGAUGAAGUAUUUCGGUAUGUAAAGUUCUUUUAUUGAAGAAGAAAAAGUAGUGGAAAAACUAUAUUGACGUUAUUCAAUGAAUAAGCCCCGGCUAACUAUGUGCCAGCAGCCGCGGUAAGACAUAGGGGGCGAGCGUUAUCCGGAAUUAUUGGGCGUAAAGGGUGCGUAGGCUGUUAGAUAAGUCUAUAAUUUAAUUUCAGUGCUUAACGCUGUCUUGUUAUAGAAACUGUCUUGACUAGAGUGAGAUAGAGGCAAGCGGAAUUCCAUGUGUAGCGGUAAAAUGUGUAAAUAUAUGGAGGAACACCAGAAGCGUAGGCGGCUUGCUGGGUCUUUACUGACGCUGANGCACGAAAGCGUGGGUAGCAAACAGGAUUAGAUACCCUGGUAGUCCACGCCGUAAACGAUGAGUACUAAGUGUUCGGGGUAAAACUCGGUACUGAAGUUAACACAUUAAGUACUCCGCCUGAGUAGUACGUACGCAAGUAUGAAACUUAAAGGAAUUGACGGGACUCCGCACAAGCGGUGGAUCAUGUUGUUUAAUUCGAAGAUACACGAAAAAUCUUACCAGGUCUUGACAUACUCUGCAAAGUUAUAGAAAUAUAUCGGAGGUUAUCAGGGAUACAGGUGGUGCAUGGUUGUCGUCAGUUCGUGUCGUGAGAUGUUAGGUUAAGUCCUAAAACGAGCGCAACCCUUGUUGUUAAUUGCCAGCACGUAAUGGUGGGGACUUUAACGAGACUGCCAAUUAAACAUUGGAGGAAGGUGAGGAUUACGUCAAAUCAUCAUGCCCCUUAUGAUCUGGGCUACAAACGUGAUACAAUGGCUGUGACAAAGAGUAGCUGAAACGCGAGUUUUUAGCCAAUCUCAAAAAAGCAGUCUCAGUUCGGAUUGAAGUCUGUAACUCGACUUCAUGAAGUUGGAAUCGCUAGUAAUCGCGAAUCAGCAUGUCGCGG